GAGGCUCGAGAGACGGCUCAGAACUU
rnacentral:piRNA from 1 species